UCUUCAGGCUGAACCCGAAGGGGAUCUGUG
rnacentral:piRNA from 1 species